UACAGAGGGUGCGAGCGUUGUUCGGAAUUAUUGGGCGUAAAGGGCGCGUAGGCGGUGCGGUAAGUCACCUGUGAAAUCUCCUGGCUCAACUGGGAGCUUGCAGGCGAAACUGCCGUGCUGGAGUGUGGGAGAGGUGCGUGGAAUUCCUGGUGUAGCGGUGAAAUGCGUAGAUAUCAGGAAGAACACCCGUGGCUAAGGCGGCUCUCUAGUACGUGACUGACGCUGAGACGCGAAAGCGUGGGGAGCGAACAGG
rnacentral:rRNA from 1 species